GGGGGCGUCUAGCCUCGAUGGAUCAGGACAUUGAAAAAUGCAGCGCGAGGAUGCGAAGUUCCCUCAUAAAUAUUCCUUCGCAAACUUUCAAGUGCAAACGAAAACGCACCUGCCCUCGCUUACGCCUAACAGCUAAGCUUGGUGUCUACCCUCUCAAUGCCUCAUAGAUUGGGAUAGGCAUAAUAUUUGAGGCUCACCGCGAAAAUUCUCCCGAUUUAGCGGAAAAAUAAAGGGAGAAACUUUUGGAUUAUUUUGCUCAUUCGCACUUCAAAAGUCAUCAAAUGAGCUAACGCUGUAGAAGUUUUUCAAUCCACUUUUCCAGACGGGAGUGCAAAUCUCCCCGCCUCCACCA
rfam:Candidatus Giovannonibacteria bacterium RIFCSPLOWO2_12_43_8 rifcsplowo2_12_sub10_scaffold_2089, whole genome shotgun sequence.